GGACUUGAGGGCGAUCCGGCUGUGACAUCUGUCACCCCAGUAACCGCCAGGGUUGAUUUGGCUGCUCUGGCUGGCUGGGCGGGUGUCCCUUCCUCGCCACUUCGAGUGUGUCCUUCCCGAAGCUGCGGCUCAGUCGAAGAGGACAACCAUACCCGGUAGAGGUGCUGCGCUCCCCCGCUAGAAGCUCCAAACAAGCGCUCAAGGUCCAUUUGUAGGAGAACGUAAGGUUGUCAAGACUGCAAACACAUCCAAAUGAGGAGCUGCCUGUGGCAAUCUGCCUUUCUAG
rnacentral:snRNA from 1 species